rnacentral:lncRNA from 10 species
CUGUGUGAGGAAGGCUGCAAUGGACUGCAGUGGAACCCUCGGAAACGAAAGUGAGGUGACUGCACCACAGACUCCACAUAGGCCAGCAGGAACCAGAGCAAAGCACCCGGAGCCUCAGCUGUUAAAAUGACUGGUACUGGGAGCUGGAGGUCUCACUGGCCGUGACUGGGUCGAACCCAGGGUGCAUCUGAUGAGUGCAGGCAUGGUAGACUCAGGUGACCCAGAAUCUUUUGGUUCAGGGAGGUCACAUAGCCCAGUAAGAGCCAAUGAGAUGCAGCAAAACUGCUGGAGAUGGAAGGACAAAGACACUGAAUCUUUCACUCUGGAAUUGAGCCUGAGAUGUGAAGGCUGGAGCUGCUGCAACCAUUCCUGAAGCAAGAGCUCUGCAUGGACUCUGCCUCCCUCUUUGUGAGGUGGGUUUUGAGGGAGAGGAAUAAAAUAUGAAUGUGUCUUCAUCAACAUUUUCACCUGGACAUCGUCUUCUAUCCAUUACCUCUUUCAAUCCCAGCACCAACCCAGGAAAGUGGGCAAGGCUGUGUCCCCUGGGAGCAGAACAGAGAAUUGGAGGACCAGCACUCGAGAGCUGAACAAGCCUGCAUGGCCAUCCAUCAUAGUUACUAAAGAGAUUAGACUAACUCUCUGUAGCUCCAGAGGGCAAAAGAAGAACCACUUGGUAGAAUCCACCAGAGGCAGUUUUGAAUUCGAAGAGAAGAAGCACUUUCUAAUGGUCACACAGCUGGCCAGCCCUGAGUGAGCUGUCCCAGGAAGCUCAGGUGAGACUGGCUGAGUCCGGAGCCUGGUGUGGUCACUGUCAGGGGCGGUUAAGAACAAGGGCUUUGGUUCAUACUUGAGUUCACUUCCUGACUCCCCACUUCCCAGGGGUUCAGGCCAGUGAGAUAACUUGUAUAAGCCUCAGCUUCCUCCUCUGUCAGUUGGUGACAGCCAGCUGUGACAGCAUUGAGUAAUGCUCCAUGAGUGGUCACACUGUUAUUUUGUUAUUUAGAGUUGGGGAUAAGAUUUCUCCAUUUUUAUUUCCCCUGGAGUGGUCUCCCCUGACACCUCAGCUCUGUAGCCCCCUACCACCUCUACCAAAGGUGACAAGUUUGAGGCAAAGCAGAACAGGCUCCCCGGGCCCAUCCUUCUCACUGUGCCUUGGGUCUGGCUGCCCAGGGAGCUCAUGUCUGCCCUGCUCUCCCACUGCCAGAGGUUUUAUAGCAACAGUCUUCACACCCCAACCAUGGGGGACCUGGGUGGGGGUGGUCAGCACACCUCUGAUGAUGGGUUUCUCCCUGUCUAGUUCCAGGGGGUCCACAGGGGGGUUCACAUGCCUGCAUGGGUGAGCUCCAUUCUCCAGCAAUAGCUUCAUCAGUAAUAAACGGGAGGUUCAUUUUCAUCUAACAUGCCCUGAAUCCUCUGGAUUGGUUCAGAAACAGGCAGGGAAACUGAUUGCUUUAAUUGGUUUUCCAAAAUAUUGUCACAACCACUGUGAUAAGUAUGGGGAAACCAAUCAUACAGCAGCCAACAUUUGGUCUCAGUUUCCAGAACAUCCCUUCAUGAUGGCAAGUACCCUGACUUUUUUUCACCACUGUAACUCCAGCCCCUAACACAGCGCCCAGAACAUAAACAUUUUGAAUAAAUUAACUUUUCCACAAUACAGUGUAUUAAGUGCCCUAAUAAGGAUAUGCAUAGAGGGCUAUAGCAGCCCAGUUGUGGCAUGGACAUUAGACACUGGGGCUUUAGGGUAGUUACUAAUAUGGUUGGUGAGAAAAGCAGGGAAACUAUCUUUCAAAACAGAAGGAAAAAUUAAGAUGUUCCAGAUAAGCAAAAACGGAGAGAAUCUGUCACUAGCAGAGACGCUCUAUCUACAAGGAGUACCAAAGAGAGUGCAUCAGGCUAAAAUGAAAGGACUUUGAAAGGACGGUAACUGGAAUCCACAGGAAGAAAACAAGAGCACCAGUAAAGAUAUCUCUAAAAGAUAUCCUCAAUGCCAUUUCACAGGUGAGGAAAUGUGGGCACAGAGAGGUAAGUCCUGAGUCACCCCAAGCUCUCCUUGCCCCAGAAGUCCCUCCUCUGGAGUUGUGUUAAGUUUCAAGGGCAGAUGCAGGAGUCAGGCCAGGGCCAGAUUUUAGCUCUGAGCCCUCAAGGGCUCCUGGAGCCAUCUGGAGCCUCUGGAACCGUCUGAGCCCAACUCUCUUCUGAACUGAGGCCCAUGCACCUGCUCUGAUGGAGCCAGGCCCUGACUGCAAGUUUCCUCUGCCAAAGUGCAACCUCAGGGGAUGUGGAUCAGAUGCCAUUUGAGAAGAACAUGCUGAGAACAACUGAGAGAUGGCAGCAUUUUUCAGCUCGGGGAGAGAGCAGGGUGGGUGGAUGAGUCUGCCUAGGGCUGGAAACUCUGUCUUCUGCCAUGGGACUGCAUGUGGCCUUGGGCAGCCUCCUUCUCUGCUCCAGUCUUGGAUUCCUCAUCUGUCAACUGGGGUGAUGCCAUCUGUUCAAAGUGUUGUUAAGAACAUGGUGGAAGAGGAUCAUGGGAUAAGGCUAUAUCCCCAAGCUCAUUUACAGCAACAAUGAGCAGUUAUUAAGCACC